rnacentral:lncRNA from 1 species
AGAGUGCCUAAGGGGAAGCCUGUCUGAGCAGAGUGAAGAAGGAGAAAAGCCUGUUGGCGUGUGAUGAAUGGUGGAGUGCACUGGUGUCCACAGUUUGCCGAAUGUGGAGAGUCAUCAGGCUUUUUUUCAGUCAGCCAAGAUCCUACCAUUUGAGGUUGCCAGGAUACCUCCAGGCAACAAAGGCUGGGGUUCCUGUUCCAGGCAGCCAGCCUCACAUAUUGCAGGAACUCCCAGAAGAGGGGAUGUGAAUCCUAGAGCUCCCAGCUAUUCUGCUCCUGUUGCCACCAGCUUCCCUGCUGAGGGGUUCAGCAGGCUAUGACAAAAACCAAAAUAGAAAGAUAAAGAACAAACAUUAUAAG